rnacentral:rRNA from 1 species
GACGAACGCUGGCGGGCGUGCUUAAUACAUGCAAAGUUGAGCGCUGAAGGUUGGGUACCUUGUACCAACCGGGAUGAGCAGCGAACCGGGUGAGUAACGCGUGGGGAAUCUGCCUUUUGAGCGGGGGACAACAUUUUGGAAACGAAUGCUAAUACCGCCAUAAAAACUUUAAACACAAGUUUUAAGUUUGAAAGAUGCAAUUGCAUCACUCAAAGAUGAUUCCCGCGUUGUAUUAGCUAGUUGGUGAGGUAAAGGCUCACCAAGGCGAUUGAUACCAUUAGCCCGACCCUUGAGAGGGGUGAUCCGGCCCACCAUUUGGGGAUUGAGGACACGGGCCCCCAAAACUUCCUCUUACCGGGAGGGCAGCCAGUUAAGGGGGAAAUUCUUUUCGGGGCAA